GACGAACGCUGGCGGCGUGCUUAACACAUGCAAGUCGAACGGGAUUUAGUAGACAGAAGCUUCGGUGGAAGAUUACUAAUGAGAGUGGCGAACGGGUGAGUAACGCGUGAGCAACCUGCCUAUGACAGUGGGAUAGCCUCGGGAAACCGGGAUUAAUACCGCAUAAAAUCGUAGAAACACAUGUUUCAACGGUCAAAGAUUUAUCGGUCGUAGAUGGGCUCGCGUCUGAUUAGCUAGUUGGUGAGAUAACAGCCCACCAAGGCGACGAUCAGUAGCCGGUCUGAGAGGAUGAACGGCCACAUUGGAACUGAGACACGGUCCAAACUCCUACGGGAGGCAGCAGUGGGGAAUAUUGCACAAUGGGGGAAACCCUGAUGCAGCGACGCCGCGUGAACGAAGAAGGUAUUCGUAUCGUAAAGUUCUGUCCUAUGGGAAGAUAAUGACAGUACCAUAGAAGAAAGCUCCGGCUAAAUACGUG
rnacentral:rRNA from 1 species